CCUACGGGAGGCAGCAGUAGGGAAUCUUCCGCAAUGGACGAAAGUCUGACGGAGCAAUUCGACCGCGUGAGCGAUGAAGGCCUUCGGGUCGUAAAUGCUCUGUUGUUAGGGAAGAACAAGUAUCGGAGUAACUGCCGGUACCUUGACGGUACCUAACAGAAAGCCACGGCUAACUACGUGCCAGCAGCCGCGGUAAUACGUAGGUGGCCAGCGUUGUGUCCGGAAUAUUGGGCGUAAAGCGCGCGCAGGCGGUCCUUUAAGUCUGAUGUGAAAGCCCACGGCUCACCCGUGGAGGUCAUUGGAAACUGGGGGACUUGAGUACAGAAGAGGAAAGCGGAAUUCCACGUGUAGCGGUGAAAUGCGUAGAGAUGUGGAGGAACACCAGUGGCGAAGGCGGCUUUCUGGUCUGUAACUGACGCUGAGGCCGCGAAAGCGUGGGGAGCAAACAGGAUUAGAUACCCUGGUAGUCCACGCCGUAAACGAUGAGUGCUAAGUGUAGAGGGUUUCCGCCCUUUAGUGCUGCAGCUAACGCAUUAAGCACUCCGCCUGGGGAGUACGGCCGCAAGGCUGAAACUCAAAGGAAUUGACGGGAUGGCCAUCUAGCACAACGCGGUGGAUGCUAUGCUGGUUGUAGAUUCGAAGCAACGCGAAGAACCUUAC
rnacentral:rRNA from 1 species